GGGAGUAUAGCUCAGUUGGUAGAGCGCCGAGCUUAUACCUCGGUGGUCCAUGGUUCGAGUCCAUGUACUCCCA
rnacentral:tRNA from 1 species